rnacentral:rRNA from 1 species
UGCCAGCAGCCGCGGUAAUACGGAGGGGGUUAGCGUUGUUCGGAAUUAUUGGGCGUAAAGCGCGUGUAGGCGGUUCGUUAAGUCUGAUGUGAAAGCCCUGGGCUCAACCUGGGAACUGCAUGGGAUACUGGCAUUCUAGAAUACAGUAGAGGGAGGUGGAAUUUCAGGUGUAGCGGUGAAAUGCGUAGAUAUUCGGAGGAACACCAGUGGCGAAGGCGGCUCACUGGCUCGAUACUGACGCUGAGGUGCGAAAGCGUGGGGAGCAAACAGGAUUAGAUA